UACGUAGGGUGCGAGCGUUGUCCGGAAUUAUUGGGCGUAAAGAGCUCGUAGGCGGUGUGUCGCGUCGGCCGUGAAAACCUGGGGCUCAACUCUGGGCGUGCGGUCGAUACGGGCAUCACUUGAGUUCGGCAGGGGAGACUGGGAAUUCCUGGUGAUAGCGGUGAAAUGCGCAGAGUAUCAGGAGGAACACCGGUGGCGAAGGCGGGUCUCUGGGCCGGAUACUGACGCUGGAGGA
rnacentral:rRNA from 1 species